rnacentral:rRNA from 1 species
AUUGAACGCUGGCGGCAGGCCUAACACAUGCAAGUCGAGCGAGCGGCGGACGGGUGAGUAAUGUAUGGGGACUGCCCGAUAGAGGGGGAUAACUACUGGAAACGGUGGCUAAUACCGCAUACUAUCGGAUAACCCAUAUGGGAUUAGCUAGUGGGUGGGGUAAAGGCUCACCUAGGCGACGAUCUCUAGCUGGUCUGAGAGGAUGACCAGCCACACUGGAACUGAGACACGGCCCAGACUCCUACGGAGGAAGCAGUGGGGAAUAUUGGACAAUGGGCGAAAUCCUGAUGCAGCCAUGCCGCGUGUAUGAAGAAGGCCUUAGGUUUGUAAAGUACGUUCAGCGGGGAGGCGUUACCCGCAGAAGAAGCACCGGCUAACUACGUGCCAGCAGCCGCGGUAAUAC